GUGGGGAAUCUUAGACAAUGGGGGCAACCCUGAUCUAGCCAUGCCGCGUGAGUGAUGAAGGCCUUAGGGUCGUAAAGCUCUUUCGCUGGGGAAGAUAAUGACGGUACCCAGUAAAGAAACCCCGGCUAACUCCGUGCCAGCAGCCGCGGUAAUACGGAGGGGGUUAGCGUUGUUCGGAAUUACUGGGCGUAAAGUGCGCGUAGGCGGAUUGGAAAGUUGGGGGUGAAAUCCCGGGGCUCAACCCUGGAAUGGCCUUCAAAACUCCCAGUCUUGAGGUCGAGAGAGGUGAGUGGAAUUCCGAGUGUAGAGGUGAAAUUCGUAGAUAUUCGGAGGAACACCAGUGGCGAAGGCGGCUCACUGGCUCGAUACUGACGCUGAGGUGCGAAAGCGUGGGGAGCAAACAGGAUUAGAUACCCGUGUAGUCC
rnacentral:rRNA from 1 species